rnacentral:rRNA from 1 species
AUUGAACGCUGGCGGCAGGCCUAACACAUGCAAGUCGAGCGGAUGAAGGGAGCUUGCUCCUGGAUUCAGCGGCGGACGGGCGAGUAAUGCCUAGGAAUCUGCCUGGUAGUUGGGGAUAACGUCCGGAAACGGGCGCUAAUACCGCAUACGUCCUGAGGGAGAAAGUGGGGGAUCUUCGGACCUCACGCUAUUAGAUGAGCCUAGGUCGGAUUAGCUAGUUGGUGGGGUAAAGGCCUACCAAGGCGACGAUCCGUAACUGGUCUGAGAGGAUGAUCAGUCACACUGGAACUGAGACACGGUCCAGACUCCUACGGGAGGCAGCAGUAGGGAAUAUUGCACAAUGGGCGAAAGCCUGAUCCAGCCACGCCGCGUGUGUGAAGAAGGUCUUCGGAUUGUAAAGCACUUUAAGUUGGGAAGAAGAACAGUAAAUUAAUACCUUGCUGUUUUGACGUUACCAACAGAGAAAGCACCGGCUAACUUCGUG